AUACGGGGGGAGCAAGCGUUGUCCGGAAUCAUUGGGCGUAAAGGGCACGUAGGCGGUUUCUUAAGUCGAAUGUGAAAUCUCACGGCUCAACCGUGAAACUGCGUUCGAAACUAAGUGACUUGAGUUUGGGAGAGGUGUACGGAAUUCCUGGUGUAGCGGUGGAACGCGUAGAUAUCUGGAAGAACACCAAUGGCGAAGGCAGUACACUGGCCUGAAACUGACGCUGAGGUGCGAAAGCGUGGGGAGCAAACAGGAUUAGAUACCCUAGUAGUCC
rnacentral:rRNA from 1 species